rnacentral:tRNA from 1 species
UAUGGAAUAAUUUAAUCGGUAAAAUACUUUGAUUUGGUCGAAGUCUUGAUUGUUCGAGUCAAUCUUCCAUAA